rnacentral:rRNA from 1 species
UACGAAGGGGGCUAGCGUUGUUCGGAAUCACUGGGCGUAAAGCGCACAUAGGCGGAUCUUUAAGUCAGAGGUGAAAUCCCAAGGCUCAACCUUGGAACUGCCUUUGAUACUGGGGAUCUUGAGUCCGGGAGAGGUGAGUGGAACUGCGAGUGUAGAGGUGAAAUUCGUAGAUAUUCGCAAGAACACCAGUGGCGAAGGCGGCUCACUGGCCCGGUACUGACGCUGAGGUGCGAAAGCGUGGGGAGCAAACAGG